AACGAACGCUGGCGGCAGGCCUAACACAUGCAAGUCGAGCGCACCCUUCGGGGCGAGCGGCGGACGGGUUAGUAACGCGUGGGAAUGUACCCUUUUCUACGGAAUAGCCAUUGGAAACGAUGAGUAAUACCGUAUACGCCCUUUGGGGGAAAGAUUUAUCGGAGAAGGAUCAGCCCGCGUUAGAUUAGAUAGUUGGUGGGGUAAUGGCCUACCAAGUCUACGAUCUAUAGCUGGUUUUAGAGGAUGAUCAGCAACACUGGGACUGAGACACGGCCCAGACUCCUACGGGAGGCAGCAGUGGGGAAUCUUAGACAAUGGGCGCAAGCCUGAUCUAGCCAUGCCGCGUGAGUGAAGAAGGCCUUAGGGUCGUAAAGCUCUUUCGCCAGGGAUGAUAAUGACAGUACCUGGUAAAGAAACCCCGGCUAACCCCGUGCCAGCAGCCGCGGUAAUACGGAGGGGGUUAGCGUUGUUCGGAAUUACUGGGCGUAAAGCGCACGUAGGCGGAUUAGAAAGUAUGGGGUGAAAUCCCAGGGCUCAACCCUGGAACUGCCUCAUAAACUCCUAAUCUAGAGUUCGAGAGAGGUGAGUGGAAUUCCGAGUGUAAAGGUGAAAUUCGUA
rnacentral:rRNA from 1 species